AGCGUACACGGUGGAUGCCCUGGCAGUCAGAGGCGAUGAAGGGCGUGCUAAUCUGCGAUAAGCGCCGGUAAGGUGAUAUGAACCGUUAUAACCGGCGAUACCCGAAUGGGGAAACCCAGUGUGAUUCGUCACACUAUCAUUAACUGAAUCCAUAGGUUAAUGAGGCGAACCGGGGGAACUGAAACAUCUAAGUACCCCGAGGAAAAGAAAUCAACCGAGAUUCCCCCAGUAGCGGCGAGCGAACGGGGAGGAGCCCAGAGCCUGAAUCAGCAUGUGUGUUAGUGGAAGCGUCUGGAAAGGUGCGCGAUACAGGGUGACAGCCCCGUACACAAAAGCGCAUGUGCUGUGAGCUCGAUGAGUAGGGCGGGACACGUGGUAUCCUGUCUGAAUAUGGGGGGACCAUCCUCCAAGGCUAAAUACUCCUGACUGACCGAUAGUGAACCAGUACCGUGAGGGAAAGGCGAAAAGAACCCCGGCGAGGGGAGUGAAAAAGAACCUGAAACCGUGUACGUACAAGCAGUGGGAGCACAGGUUUACCUGUGUGACUGCGUACCUUUUGUAUAAUGGGUCAGCGACUUAUAUUCUGUAGCAAGGUUAACCGUAUAGGGGAGCCGUAGGGAAACCGAGUCUUAACCGGGCGUUAAGUUGCAGGGUAUAGACCCGAAACCCGGUGAUCUAGCCAUGGGCAGGUUGAAGGUUGGGUAACACUAACUGGAGGACCGAACCGACUAAUGUUGAAAAAUUAGCGGAUGACCUGUGGCUGGGGGUGAAAGGCCAAUCAAACCGGGAGAUAGCUGGUUCUCCCCGAAAGCUAUUUAGGUAGCGCCUCGUGAAUUCAUCUCCGGGGGUAGAGCACUGUUUCGGCUAGGGGGCCAUCCCGGCUUACCAACCCGAUGCAAACUGCGAAUACCGGAGAAUGUUAUCACGGGAGACACACGGCGGGUGCUAACGUCCGUCGUGAAGAGGGAAACAACCCAGACCGCCAGCUAAGGUCCCAAAGUCAUGGUUAAGUGGGAAACGAUGUGGGAAGGCCCAGACAGCCAGGAUGUUGGCUUAGAAGCAGCCAUCAUUUAAAGAAAGCGUAAUAGCUCACUGGUCGAGUCGGCCUGCGCGGAAGAUGUAACGGGGCUAAACCAUGCACCGAAGCUGCGGCAGCGAACGUAUCACUUAAAGCGAUUCAGCGGGUUACGAUUGACGGAGCGAAGCGACGUCAAAGCGUAUACAAAGUCGAGUCGGUUUAAGGAUACGUUCGUUGGGUAGGGGAGCGUUCUGUAAGCCCGUGAAGGUGGCCUGUGAGGGUUGCUGGAGGUAUCAGAAGUGCGAAUGCUGACAUAAGUAACGAUAAAGCGGGUGAAAAGCCCGCUCGCCGGAAGACCAAGGGUUCCUGUCCAACGUUAAUCGGGGCAGGGUGAGUCGACCCCUAAGGCGAGGCCGAAAGGCGUAGUCGAUGGGAAACGGGUUAAUAUUCCCGUACUUGGUGUUACUGCGAAGGGGGGACGGAGAAGGCUAUGUUGGCCGGGCGACGGUUGUCCCGGUUUAAGCGUGUAGGUGUGUGUUCCAGGUAAAUCCGGUUCACUUUAACACUGAGGCGUGACGACGAGGCACUACGGUGCUGAAGCAACAAAUGCCCUGCUUCCAGGAAAAGCCUCUAAGCAUCAGGUAACACGAAAUCGUACCCCAAACCGACACAGGUGGUCAGGUAGAGAAUACCAAGGCGCUUGAGAGAACUCGGGUGAAGGAACUAGGCAAAAUGGUGCCGUAACUUCGGGAGAAGGCACGCUGACACGUAGGUGAAGUGAUUUACUCAUGGAGCUGAAGUCAGUCGAAGAUACCAGCUGGCUGCAACUGUUUAUUAAAAACACAGCACUGUGCAAACACGAAAGUGGACGUAUACGGUGUGACGCCUGCCCGGUGCCGGAAGGUUAAUUGAUGGGGUCAGCGCAAGCGAAGCUCCUGAUCGAAGCCCCGGUAAACGGCGGCCGUAACUAUAACGGUCCUAAGGUAGCGAAAUUCCUUGUCGGGUAAGUUCCGACCUGCACGAAUGGCGUAAUGAUGGCCAGGCUGUCUCCACCCGAGACUCAGUGAAAUUGAACUCGCUGUGAAGAUGCAGUGUACCCGCGGCAAGACGGAAAGACCCCGUGAACCUUUACUAUAGCUUGACACUGAACAUUGAGCCUUGAUGUGUAGGAUAGGUGGGAGGCUUUGAAGUGUGGACGCCAGUCUGCAUGGAGCCGACCUUGAAAUACCACCCUUUAAUGUUUGAUGUUCUAACGUGGACCCGUAAUCCGGGUUGCGGACAGUGUCUGGUGGGUAGUUUGACUGGGGCGGUCUCCUCCUAAAGAGUAACGGAGGAGCACGAAGGUUGGCUAAUCCUGGUCGGACAUCAGGAGGUUAGUGCAAUGGCAUAAGCCAGCUUGACUGCGAGCGUGACGGCGCGAGCAGGUGCGAAAGCAGGUCAUAGUGAUCCGGUGGUUCUGAAUGGAAGGGCCAUCGCUCAACGGAUAAAAGGUACUCCGGGGAUAACAGGCUGAUACCGCCCAAGAGUUCAUAUCGACGGCGGUGUUUGGCACCUCGAUGUCGGCUCAUCACAUCCUGGGGCUGAAGUAGGUCCCAAGGGUAUGGCUGUUCGCCAUUUAAAGUGGUACGCGAGCUGGGUUUAGAACGUCGUGAGACAGUUCGGUCCCUAUCUGCCGUGGGCGCUGGAGAACUGAGGGGGGCUGCUCCUAGUACGAGAGGACCGGAGUGGACGCAUCACUGGUGUUCGGGUUGUCAUGCCAAUGGCACUGCCCGGUAGCUAAAUGCGGAAGAGAUAAGUGCUGAAAGCAUCUAAGCACGAAACUUGCCCCGAGAUGAGUUCU
rnacentral:rRNA from 1 species